GACGAACGCUGGCGGCGUGCUUAACACAUGCAAGUCGAACGGAAAGGCCCUGCUUUUGUGGGGUGCUCGAGUGGCGAACGGGUGAGUAACACGUGAGUAACCUGCCCUUGACUUUGGGAUAACUUCAGGAAACUGGGGCUAAUACCGGAUAGGAGCUCCUGCUGCAUGGUGGGGGUUGGAAAGUUUCGGCGGUUGGGGAUGGACUCGCGGCUUAUCAGCUUGUUGGUGGGGUAGUGGCUUACCAAGGCUUUGACGGGUAGCCGGCCUGAGAGGGUGACCGGCCACAUUGGGACUGAGAUACGGCCCAGACUCCUACGGGAGGCAGCAGUGGGGAAUAUUGCACAAUGGGCGGAAGCCUGAUGCAGCAACGCCGCGUGCGGGAUGACGGCCUUCGGGUUGUAAACCGCAUUCGCCUGUGAUGAAGCGUGAGUGACGGUAAUGGGUAAAGAAGCACCGGCUAACUACGUG
rnacentral:rRNA from 1 species